rnacentral:tRNA from 1 species
CAUUAGAUGGCUGAAAGUUAAGCAAUGGUCUCUUAAACCAUAUUAUAGUAAUCAUUACAUUUACUUCUAAUGG